rnacentral:lncRNA from 1 species
CCACUGUACAGCAAGGGGGUCAGGUUAUCCUUAGAUGUAUACACUGCAAUUACAGUUUUUUCCCCCACCCUUUCUUCUCCUAACCAAGGCUCAUGAGCAGAGCAGCAAAUUCAGUCAUUCGUUGGAUUUAGUGCCUUAAGCCUCCUCUCCUGCCCCAUCCCUCUCCAGCGUUCCUUGCACCCCAGUCCCCAGACACGGACAAAUGAUAACCGUAGGAACAGCUGAAAAUUGUGAUGCCGACGAAUCUAUAUUGGAACAAAAUUCAGCAUCCCACAAAACUGCUUUUUGGUUGCAGGAGGCUGUUCUUGGGAGGUACACAGCAAGUCAUCCCGAAAUGUGGGGACAGUGAAUCAGUGGUAGGUACAUAAGAUGUCUGUGAUUACUGAUCUGCUAAAGUUCUUAAGGAUAGGACAGGAUGUGCCUCUGGACAAAGCAGGAAGAGCAAGGCCUGGAAAUCAAAUCAAGGCUUGACAAUGGAAAAAAAAAAAAGCCAACUGUAUUAACAUUAGCUGAAGCAAUAUUACAUAGAGAGAAAUGGUGAGAUGUGAGGAGCUGAGGAAAAGCAGUAAGAAGGAGCACAUCUUUGGGAGUUUACCUUGCCUCCCACCAGAGUAAUGGGAGCUCUGGAAACCCUUGAGCAUUACAGGCAGCUCAGAGCUUCCCCGAAUCCUCUCUUGAUAAGGAUCUUAAGGUUGGUCCAGGGAGCAAUGGGAAGGCAAAGAUUUGGUAAUUGAUUAGUCAUGUCUAUCGUGAGCACAGGGGUGGGCGAUUAGACCAGCCCCCCUGCCAUUCUGGACCCUUGCGCGCCCCUCAGAGGAUGGAAAUAUCUUAAGUCAUCUUGGCUAUUAAAAUCAUUCAUCUUGCUCACCUUGUUUUGAUUCCGUGAAUACCAACCUCCUAACUAGAUUUUGGCAACCCAUGUGACUUUCCUACAGGGGAAAGAAUGUGCUGACAGGCUGACAUAAAGUUCUCAGGCUGCUUCUCAGUGCUUGUCCCACUGUGAUUUAAUAUAUUUGUGGUCUGGCUUCCUCACCAGGCUGCUGUGAAUUUGGUUAGCCUGUCCCUUUCAGCCUGAUUAGCUCCACGUGCACAAAAGGAGCUCCAUCUCUGACCUGCAGAUGAGCCUUGCCAGCCUCCAGCUCCCCUGCCAUGCUGGCCCUGAGGGGUUCUUCUCUUGACAUUGCUAGCCGGCUACUCGGUCAUGUCAAUCACCCCAACCACAGCCAUCUACCCAGAGCCCAGAAUGAGCUGUGGGAGGCCUGUGAAAAGAGUGCUACAGCCACCAAAAUAACCUUAUAUGUUCUGCUGAAUAAAAAAGAAUAAGGAAGAGAGAUUGGGGGGAGAUGCCAAGAAUACGCAAUAGAAAACAAGCAGAAGGAGUUGGCAGUGUUUAAUCUAGAGCCAGGAAGAUCUGGGAGGCCCAACUGCUUCCCUGUCAUCAAAUAUCUGAAGGCCUGCAGUGAUGAAAAGGGGAUGGAUUUGUUCCCUGGGGCUCCAGAAGAAAGUAUGAGAACCAAGGGGUGACAGACACAGGGAGAUAGAUUUCGGCUAGAUAAAAAAGAGGAACUUUUAAAGGCAGUUUUCCUCUAAUAGCAAUAAUUCACUUGUCAUCUUCACUUUUUUCCUUUCUUCUUUCUUUGAUCAAAUUUGCGAGAAACGGGAGUUCCCGUCGUGGCCAGCGGAAACAAAUCCGACUAGGAGCCACGAAGUUGUGGGUUCAAGCCCUGGCCUCACUCAGUGGGUUAAGGAUCGGUGUUGCUGUGAGCUGUGGUGUAGGUCUCAGACAAAGCUAGGGUCCCACGUUGUUAUGGCUGUGGCAUAGGCCAGCAGCUGUAGCUCCAACUCGACUCCUAGCCUAGGAACCUCCAUAUGCCGCAUGACUGGGUCACCAUGCUGUACAGUAGAAAAUUGGCAGAAAGCUGUAAACCAACUAUAACAGAAAAAAAAAAAUCAUUGUAUUAAAAAAAAAAAAAAGAAAAAAAUUUGAGAGAAGCAGUGUAAUCUUUCCAUGAGGAACACAAAUUGGAGUGGGAAUGCCUGGUUCAUUUUCUAGUUCUAUCACCUACUAGCUACAUUAACUUUGGCAAGUUACCUUACUUUCCUAUGUCUAUUUCCUCUGCUAAUAUUAGUACCUACGUACUUAACCCAUGUGAUUAUGGUGAGGAAUAACUAAAUUAUACUUGUAAAGUGUUUAGAAGAGCACCCAGCAAUAAGUGGUAGCAACUAUUAUUUUAAAUUACAAUUUCAUACCACCUAUACUAUUAUUUAAUAUUUUUCUUUAAAUAGACAUUAUUUAUAUAAAUUUAUUUUAUUUUAAUUUUUUUUUGGUCUUUUUAGGGCCGCACCUGCAGCAUAUAGAGGUUCCCAGGCUAGGGGUCUAAUUGGAGCUGUAGCCGACGGCCUAAACCAGAGCCACAGCAAUGGUGGAUCCAAGCCACAUCUGCAACCUACACCACAACUCAUGGCAACGCCAGAUCCUUAACCCACUGAGCAAGGCCAGGGAUUGAACCUGCAACCUCAUGGUUCCUAGUCAGAUUCAUUAACCACUGAGCCAUGAGGGGAACUCCUUUAUAAAUCUAUUUUAAAGGAAACUUUCUAUUACUUUUGUAAAUGCAAAGCCAGAAACACUUGCCCUGUAUAGAUAGAAACUGUACAACCAAACAUAAAACAAUGUUAUUAAAUUUUAGCUAGCUACUGUUGCCUGUUCCACGCCCUAAUUUUGAGGACGGCUCUCUUUUCCAUAAGGAGACAAGCAAGUUACAAAAAACGGUCUGGUACUUCACUGAGACUUUUUUGGUUGACUGUAGUCAGAAGGAAGAGUCUGGCAAGUUCAAGGAAGUGAAACACCAGUGCAGCUGCAACUCCUGCUCUGGGGAGAGAGAGCAGGGAGGGCUGGGGAGGGAGACAGGGCAAGAUCAAAGGGAUGGUUUAAAAAGGAAAUACCUCUCCUAGAAUGUGACUUUGUGAUCUUUUGCACCAUGGAACCAUCUCACAGGGCACCCAGGGGGUAGGAUUAGCACACUUUCGAAAGCAAGGUCAGAGAUACUUUGUAGCCCACAGUACUCAUCAGCGCCCCCUGGAGGAUGCCCACAGACAGUCCCCCAGACACACCAGCUGCCUCUCACUUCCUACUUGAAGGUAUGUUCUGGCUGCAGGGUGUAUGCUCCAGGCUGCAUGCAGAAGUAGAGGGAUGCUGGGGUGCACCAUCUCUCCAAGCAUCCCCAGAGAGAUUAAGCUCUUUGCUCCAUGGUAACUCAUUCAUCAACACAUCCUUUACUUGGCCCUCCUCCCCUCCCCGGUCCACUUCACUCUCACCAGGCCCUCUGGGAUUACCUCCCAAAGAAGUUCCUGGCACUCUAACCCUUGUCUUAUGAUCUGCUUUGGGGAAACCCCAACUAUGGCACAGUUUAAACUUCUGACAGCGGAAUGAGUUGCCCAGUGAGUAAGUUCCAUUUUAUUGGAGCACUCAAGAUUUAGCUGAGAAUGUUCCAUGAAGAUUCAUGGAUCAGGUAAGAAUUCAACUGGAAGGACAUUUAGUAUCCUUCUGACACUUAGGUCUCAUGAUUCUAGAUCAAGAGUUGGCAAACUACAGCCCACAGCCCACAGCCACUCCACUGCCUGUUUUGAUACAGCCCGUGAACUAAGAAAAUAUAUAUUUUAAAUAUACAUAUAUAUAUAUAUACACACACAUAUAUAUAUAAAGGAAAUACCUAAUAUAUAUAUUAGCUUUUUAGGGCCGCACCCGUGGCAUAUGGAGGUUCCCAGGCUCAGGGCUGAAUCAGAGCUGUAGCCGCCAGCCUACACACCACAGCCACAGCAAUGCCAGAUCUGAGCUGUGUCUGCAAACUACAGCACAGCUCAUGGCAACGCCGGAUCCUUAACCCACUGAGUGAGGCCAGGGAUCGAAUCUGCAACCUCAUGGUUCCUAGUCAGAUUCAUUUCUGCUGAGCCAAGAGGGAACUCCUACAAUUUUAAAUGGUUGGAAAAAAAAUCAAAACAAGAUUUAUGUGGCCCUCAGAUUUCAGUGUCCAUCAAUAAAGGUUUUUUUAUUGAUAAAGUUUUAUUGGAACAUGGCUAUACUCACUCAUUCCCAAAUCAUCAGUAAUAAUUUUAUUUUUAAAACAACAGAGCAUAAGAGUCUACUGUACAGAACAGGGAACUAUCCAAGCUCUUGGGAUAGAACAUGAUGGAAGAUAGUAUGAGAAAAAGAAUGUGUAUAGAUGUAUAAAUGGGUUACUUUGCUGUACAGUAGGAAUUGGCACAUUAUAAAUCAACUAUACUUUAAUAAAAAGAAAAUAAGCUAAAAGGGCAUGAGACCUUUUCUUGCCCACCCUCUGACCACUGUCUGAAAUGUUCUCAUCCAUGCUUGAUGGCUUCAUUCAGGAUGGAUUCAUUCCUCCUCAAACUAAAACAAAUAUCCAGCCCAGGACCAUGUCCUGAGUGAGAUCUUAGAUCAAAACUCAAAUGUCUGUUCAACAUUGGAUUAAGAGGAGGGUGAGGAGGUGGGUGUUGCUGCUUACUGGUGGUGUGACUUGGAACAGGGCAUUUAACCGCAUGGGGUAUCAAUUUCAUCACCUGUCAAAGGCGGAAAUGAUGCUGCCCAGCCUGCCAGGAUUACUGGACAAGAGAGCUGCCCACAAAAAAAAAACACAGUGCCACCUGGCCCAGCCUCUCUCUCCAGCGUUAUCAUAUGACUGGACCUCUGCUUCCUCUGACCACCGCACUCCCUGCACACUGGCUCUCCUUGAGCUCCUUGACUUUGCCAAGCUCUUGGCUACCUCUGGGCCUUUGCACAUGCUGCCUUUUUUUUUUGCCUGAAACACCUUUUUUCUCAUCCCCCCUCUCCACUGCCCCUUGGCUUGGCUGCUUCUCAGCCUUUCUGACCCCCAAUCCAAGACAGGCCCCUUCUGGAUGCUGCUCCAUCUUUAUGCUUGAUUUUCUCAUCCCACGUGUAGCAAUGUCUAAUUAUAGUCAAUUAAAAAAUAUUUUUUAUUAUUAUUAUUUUUUGCUUUUCAGGGCCACACCAGCAGCACAUGGAGGCUUCCAGGGUGGGGGUCAAGUCGGAGCUGAAGCUGCCAGCCUACACCACAGCCACAACAAUGUGGGAUCCGAGCUGCAUCUGUGACCUAUACACCACAGCCCAUGGCAAAGCUGGAUCUCCAACCCACCGAGCAAGGCCAGGGAUCGAACCCACAGCCCCAUGGUAGUCAGAUUCUUUUCUGCUUCGCCACAACAGGAACUCUCAAUUAUAGUUAAUUCUCAUCUUCGUAGUGGUUAUGUUCUAUAAAGUUGCCAUGAACACGGAAUUAGCAAAUACGGAACCUUUGCUCCUAAGGGAAAAACCUAAGGUUAGGUUUCUGCAAGCCUCUGGUCCCAUUUUCAUCAACAGAUUGAUAUGUAACCUUGUUUUAUGUGUGUUUCUGUUUCAAGACCCCUUAUUUAAAUAUGUACUGUUGAGUAAAUCAACUAUAAUUAAAAAACUUUUGUAAAAUAAAUAUAUGCCAUUGAUUCGUUCACAAUGAAUUCACAGCCAGUACCACUACAACCCAUGCCUGAACAAAGCGUAUCUAACAUGCAUUUUCUCUAUAAGGCACAUGGCAGCCUUCAUGUGCUUAAGGGUGCUAGACACUAUAUUCGGGGGUGAUUUUUAAACAGCAAAAUCACCAACACGAAGCACAAAAAUGCAAAACGAAACAAAACAAAAAACCAUGGCACUAAACAGACCACAAAAAGGACGCUUGUUUAUAGUUCUCGGAGCUGAAACAAGAAGGCAGAGUGACAUCUUGUUUUGAUCUCAGCUGGGAACAUGUGUGUUGGCAACUGAAAUUUUUGGCCACACUGUUCACAUCCAUGUAUGACCAUGAAAAGUGCUACAGAUACUGAUUUGGGGGUUACAAAUAAAUUUGAGUGAGUGGGAGAAUUGGUAAAUACACAAUCUGCAAAUAAUAAGAACCUACUGUACUUUCUUCUCAUUUCUCUCAUUUGCUAGUGUGUAAGUACACUGGGGGCUGGUUCACCUCUUACCACUUUAUCUCUAGCAUCUGGAAAAUUGCCUGGUACAUAGUAGGCCCUCAGUAAUCAGUACCGUUUAUGAACGCAUGAGUCAGUUCAGCGAAAGUGCUUUGGCAGAAAUGACAGCUAGUGUUUACGGAGGAGACACCAUAAGCUGCCCUGUGUGAAGUGCUUUUUCUAUGUUCCCUCCAUCAAUAAGGGAAACAGCAGAUUAUUG